rnacentral:rRNA from 1 species
UACGGAGGGUGCAAACGUUGCUCGGAAUCAUUGGGCGUAAAGCGCACGUAGGCGGUCGGCUAUGUCGGAUGUGAAAGCCUCGGGCUUAACCCGAGAAGGGCAUCCGAAACUGGCCGGCUUGAGUACGGAAGAGGGUCUCGGAAUUCCCGGUGUAGAGGUGAAAUUCGUAGAUAUUCGGAGGAACACCAGUGGCGAAGGCGGCUCACUGGCUCGAUACUGACGCUGAGGUGCGAAAGCGUGGGGAGCAAACAGG